CUAGCUGGUCUGAGAGGAUGACCAGCCACACUGGAACUGAGACACGGUCCAGACUCCUACGGGAGGCAGCAGUGGGGAAUAUUGCACAAUGGGCGCAAGCCUGAUGCAGCCAUGCCGCGUGUAUGAAGAAGGCCUUCGGGUUGUAAAGUACUUUCAGCGGGGAGGAAGGGAGUAAAGUUAAUACCUUUGCUCAUUGACGUUACCCGCAGAAGAAGCACCGGCUAACUCCGUGCCAGCAGCCGCGGUAAUACGGAGGGUGCAAGCGUUAAUCGGAAUUACUGGGCGUAAAGCGCACGCAGGCGGUUUGUUAAGUCAGAUGUGAAAUCCCCGGGCUCAACCUGGGAACUGCAUCUGAUACUGGCAAGCUUGAGUCUCGUAGAGGGGGGUAGAAUUCCAGGUGUAGCGGUGAAAUGCGUAGAGAUCUGGAGGAAUACCGGUGGCGAAGGCGGCCCCCUGGACGAAGAC
rnacentral:rRNA from 1 species